rnacentral:lncRNA from 1 species
AACCUUUGAUUUUUCAAACAAUUAAAUAAAAUAAACUUCUGGCAAUAUUUGUGGCUCCAAUUGUGAUACUUGAGGCAUUUUCUCUACUGUGAUCAACAAUCUGUCAUAGUAUGAGUCAUUAAUGAAUAUUGUCAUCAACUCAAGUUUAGUAUAAUGACUUUAGAAUAAGAGAAAUUAAGACAAAGGAGGGACAAGAAAGUUUAAAAAGGAUGCAGAAGAAAGUUUAGCAGUCUUGUAUGUAUUUUAUCACAUUAUAAGGUUUUUUCUAUAAAUUCUUUUUUUUUUAUAAAUAUCGAUUUUUUAUGAAAUGGAAACAAC